rnacentral:rRNA from 1 species
UACGGGGGGAGCAAGCGUUGUUCGGAUUUACUGGGCAUAAAGGGCGCGUAGGCGGCCACCGCAAGUCGGUUGUGAAAUCUCUGGGCUUAACCCAGAAAGGUCAACCGAUACUGCGGGGCUAGAGUGCAGAAGGGGCAACUGGAAUUCUCGGUGUAGCGGUGAAAUGCGUAGAUAUCGAGAGGAACACCUGCGGCGAAGGCGGGUUGCUGGGCUGACACUGACGCUGAGGCGCGAAAGCCAGGGGAGCGAACGGG